rnacentral:rRNA from 1 species
ACUCCUACGGGAGGCAGCAGUCGGGAAUAUUGGACAAUGGGCGCAAGCCUGAUCCAGCAAUACCGCGUGUGUGAAGAAGGCCUGCGGGUUGUAAAGCACUUUCAGUUGGGAAGAUAAUGACGUUACCAACAGAAGAAGCACCGGCUAACUCCGUGCCAGCAGCCGCGGUAAUAC